GCAAACUUGGUCAUUUAGAGGAAGUAAAAGUCGUAACAAGGUAACCGUAGGUGAACCUGCGGUUGGAUCAUUAAAAAAUUCCAACUAAAAGAGUAGUUUCAAUUUAUUUGGACUACUUCUUUUAAACACCUUUGUGAACUGUUUAUUGUCUCUGGUGGGUUAAAAUGUCUUUUUAACGAAAGACAGGCUCUUUUAAAGAGCAACCCACCUCUUUUAAACUAUUUCUAUUUUGUCUUUAAUUCAUUUUUAAAUCUUUUAAAUUUAAAAACAACUUUUGACAACGGAUCUCUUGGUUCUCGCAUCGAUGAAGAACGCAGC
rnacentral:misc_RNA from 1 species